GUGCGGAUAAAUAGACGACUACAGAAGGAGGCUCAGGAUGGUGACCAACAAGGUUGCUCACCUUCAGAAGCAGUUGUCUGAAAGAGCCCAGGCCGUUUCGGUUCAAAGCUCCGACGAACUUCGAUCCUUGAGGGGAACCAUGGAGGAACUGUCCAUGGCCCUUGGGUAGGAGAAGGUCGAACUACAAUGACUUUUUUGUUCUUA
rnacentral:lncRNA from 1 species